GGACUACUCGGGUUUCUAAUCCUGUUUGCUCCCCUAGCUUUCGUGCCUCAGUGUCAGGUGUUGUCCAGGGACUCGCCUUCGCCACUGGUGUUCCACUUGAUAUCUACGCAUUUCACUGCUACACCAAGUAUUCCAGUCCCCCCUCCAAACCUCUAGUGUGAUAGUAUUCAAUGCAGUUUCCGGGUUAAGCCCGGAGAUUUCACAUCAAACUUACCUCACCACCUACGCACCCUUUACGCCCAGUGAAUCCGAACAACGCUUGGGACCUCUGUAUUACCGCGGCUGCUGGCAC
rnacentral:rRNA from 1 species